AAAGCAGGGGAUCGUAAGACCUUGCGCUUUUGGAGUGGCCGAUGCCUGAUUAGCUAGUUGGUGGGGUAAGGGCCUACCAAGGCGACGAUCAGUAGUUGGUCUGAGAGGACGACCAGCCACACUGGGACUGAGACACGGCCCAGACUCCUACGGGAGGCAGCAGUGGGGAAUUUUGGACAAUGGGCGGAAGCCUGAUCCAGCAAUGCCGCGUGAGUGAAGAAGGCCUUCGGGUUGUAAAGCUCUUUCAGUCGAGAAGAAAAGGUUGCGACUAAUAAUCGCAACUUAUGACGGUAUCGACAGAAGAAGCACCGGCUAACUACGUGCCAGCAGCCGCGGUAAUACGUAGGGUGCGAGCGUUAAUCGGAAUUACUGGGCGUAAAGGGUGCGCAGGCGGCUCUGUAAGUCAGAUGUGAAAUCCCCGGGCUUAACCUGGGAAUUGCGUUUGAAACUACAAGGCUAG
rnacentral:rRNA from 1 species